AGCGAACGCUGGCGGCAGGCCUAAUACAUGCAAGUCGAACGGAUCCUUCGGGGAUUAGUGGCGGACGGGUGAGUAACACGUGGGAACGUGCCCUUUGGUUCGGAACAACUCAGGGAAACUUGAGCUAAUACCGGAUAAGCCCUUCGGGGAAAGAUUUAUCGCCAUUGGAGCGGCCCGCGUCUGAUUAGCUAGUUGGUGGGGUAAAGGCCUACCAAGGCGACGAUCAGUAGCUGGUCUGAGAGGAUGAUCAGCCACACUGGGACUGAGACACGGCCCAGACUCCUACGGGAGGUAGCAGUAGGGAAUCUUGCGCAAUGGGCGAAAGCCUGACGCAGCCAUGCCGCGUGAAUGAUGAAGGUCUUAGGAUUGUAAAAUUCUUCAGC
rnacentral:rRNA from 1 species